rnacentral:rRNA from 1 species
GACGAACGCUGGCGGCGUGCUUAACACAUGCAAGUCGAACGGAAAGGCCCCCUUGUGGGGUACUCGAGUGGCGAACGGGUGAGUAACACGUGAGUAACCUACCAUUGACUUUGGGAUAACUUCAGGAAACUGGGGCUAAUACCGGAUAGGAGCUCCUGCUGCAUGGUGGGGGUUGGAAAGUUUCGGCGGUUGGGGAUGGGCUCGCGGCUUAUCAGCUUGUUGGUGGGGUAGUGGCUCACCAAGGCUUUGACGGGUAGCCGGCCUGAGAGGGUGACCGGCCACAUUGGGACUGAGAUACGGCCCAGACUCCUACGGGAGGCAGCAGUGGGGAAUAUUGCACAAUGGGCGGAAGCCUGAUGCAGCAACGCCGCGUGCGGGAUGACGGCCUUCGGGUUGUAAACCGCUUUCGCCUGUGACGAAGCGUGAGUGACGGUAAUGGGUAAAGAAGCACCGGCUAACUACGUG